AUGAAUGAUAUCCACGGAAGAUUGAAUAAUAUUUCCACUCUCCUAGGGAGUAUGGGGUUGGGUGAAGUGACACCACGGUUUGACAAAAUAGUUAGGCCAGAGACUAGCUCUUUCCCCGAUGAAACAAAAAUAUUUGGUCGUGACAUGGAACUAGAGAAGAUAUUGGGAUUGAUUGGUGCGCCUACACAUAAUAGCACUCACUCAAAGCGCAAGAGGGAAACUGGUGCAGGUGAUGCAUCGAGAAGGAUAUUAGUGAGGAACAAACUUAGUAAUGAAUCAAGAUUACCAGAUCUUCCAGUUUUGCCAAUAGUUGGAAUUGGGGGUGUUGGAAAGACCACUUUGGCUCAGCAUAUCAGUAGUCAUCCACGAGUGAAGUCUCACUUCGACACAAUAAUUUGGAUUUGUGUCUCGGGUGAUUUCGAUGUGAAGAGGUUAACAAAAGAGGCUAUAGAAUCAUAUCCUGGUAAGGAGUCAACGAUUGACAAUCUAAAUUCUCUUCAACAUGCUCUUGCUAACAAAUUGAAGAAUAAAAAGUUCUUGAUUGUCCUCGAUGAUAUGUGGGAUGAUGCUCUGAAGGAAAAUGGCCAGUGCUGGAAGAGGUUUUGUGCACCUUUGAAAAAUGUGCUACUAGGAAGUAUGAUGUUGGUCACCACUAGGUCUCCAAUGGUGGCUAAUUUAGUGCGGUCUAUGGAGCCAAUUAUAUUGGAGGGUUUAAAAGAUGAUGUCUUUUGGGAUUUCUUUAAACUAUGUGUGUUUGGGUCGAAGAGUUCUAAUGAUUUUCCAGAGUUAGAGCUCAUUGGUAAAGACAUACUUCCUAAGUUGAAGGGCUCUCCUUUAGCCGCUAAAACUCUUGGACACAUGUUACAGGAUGACCUUCGUACAUCACAUUGGAAUAGUAUACUAGAGAAUGAAUUGUGGGAGUUAGACCAACGGACGACUGAAAUUUUGCCAGCCCUUCGGUUGAGCUACAUAUAUUUACCAUUUCACUUGAAGAGAUGCUUCUCAUUUUGUGCUGUGUACCCCAAAGAUACGAAGUUUGAAAAGGAUUGUUUAGCCGAAAUCUGGGCGGCAGAAGGCUUUGUGAAACGUCAAGGUGGUAUUCCAAUUCAAGAUAUUGGCUGUCAAUACUUUAAUGACCUUUUAAAUCGGUCCUUCUUUCAAGAAAUUCAAGGUAAAUACUUAAUCCAUGACUUGUUGCAUGAUAUGGCACAGAAAGUUUCAGAGGAUGAUUGUUUCAUCGUGAAAAGAAAGGAUGACUUUAAAAGAAUUCCUCAAAAUGUUCGGCAUUUGUCAGUCCUCUCCAGCACAGACAUUGCCUAUUCCAACUUGUUGAGGCUAGGCCAGUACAAAAAGCUCCGUACCCUUCUUUGCUACAAGUCUUUAGCGAAUAAAAAAACCCCAGCUAGUUUGAUGGAAGAUUGGUGCAGCAAACUUACGCGUAUGCGUGUGAUUGUUUGUGCCUCUAUGAAUGAGUUGCCAGCUAGCAUUGGCAAAUUGAAGCAUCUUCAGUACCUUGAGAUAUCCAGAGCUUGUUCUAUCACCGGUCUUCCUGCAACGAUUUGUCAGCUCCAUAAUUUACAGGUUUUAUGUUUCAAGAGAUGCAAGCUAGAAAGCUUGCCUAGUGACUUCAGUAUGUUGGUCAACUUAUGGAGAUUUGAAUCGCAGGGAUUUAAAUAUGGUCCAAAUAUUGGAAGAUCCCAAAAAGAAGAACCAUAUUAUGGAGUAAAUCUUGAUGCAGACAAUGAUGAGCGGGGACUAGGAUGUAGGCUCAUAAAGAAUAUGAAGCAACUUCGUGGACAUUUGGAGAUAAGUAAUAUUGACAGGCUAAACAAGGAUCAUUCAGAAGAAGCCGAACUAAAGAAUAAGGAAUAUCUUGACAAGCUGACACUUCAAUGGUGUUUCUCGGAGUGCAAAAUGCUUCAUCUAAAAUAUUUCAUUGACACUUCUAUCAGAGCAGAAUGGGAGAUGGAAGUCCUUCCAGAUCUACAACCUCCUACCGGUAUCAAGUCUCUAGUCCUCGACUUUUACCCAGGUCUUUCUCCUCCGAGGUGGUUUCAGCCACAAAACCUGCCAAGCUUAACAUCCGUUUCAUUUCUUCAUUGUGGUGGACUCGAGAUAGCUGCAGAGCUAGUUGACAUCAAUAAUGCCAGCAUUGGUUUUUCCUUCCUGACAGAUCUAAUCAUUAAUGGGUGCCCCCGUUUAUCAAGUCUCGAAGAACUUCUACAUCCAGCUUAUCUACCAGUCAUCAAGAAAAUUGCAAUAAUGCACUGCCGGAACCUAAUAUCAGUACCGACCGAAAGAUUUGGGGAUUUUCGUUGCCUUGAAAUAUUCAGGGUGCUGGAUUGUGGAAAAAUAAACUCCCAAAGUUUGACUGCACCCUCUCUCAAGAAGCUCGUGCUUGGCAAGAAUACAUUCGGCUGGGAUGAAAGUCAUGGGAAUCUCACAGACAAUAUCCAAUGCAGCUCUCUCACCUACUUUUUCUUGUCAUCCAGCCAUCUCACGUCCAUCCAACUUCAAAUGUGGAAUCUUCCAGCUCUACAAGAAUUGAGUAUUUCAUAUUGUCGAUCUCUUACAUCUAUUGGGCAACCUGGGCAGGUCUUCACCAGGGGAAAUGGCAGCGCUAGAGUAUUAUCAUCCCUUACUUCCCUAACCAUCCGCUGGUGCGAAGAACUGUCAACCAUUGAUGGUCUCCUAGAAGAAAAAUAUCUACCUUCCAUUGAGAGUAUUACAAUUGCCAAUUGUGGCAGCUUGUCAAUUCAGGGUAAAAAGUUUGGGGUUUUUUCUUCUCUGAAGGACUUGAAAGUUUCUGGGUGCCCUAGAAUCAAAUGGGGAGGAAUAGUUUUACCAUCGUCCCUCCAAAGUCUCCACUUAAGUGGAUGUGAGGAUGUCUCUUCAUUUAUUCCCAGCUGCCUAGAAAACCUUCAAUCCCUUGUUUCACUAAAGAUAUCAGAGUGUCCUCAUUUAAGAUCCAUUCCAGGCCAUCUUUGGAGCAGUACUCUCUCAUCACUCCAGGAAUUAGAGAUUAUGUUUUGUCCAGACCUUGUGUCUAUUGGUGGAGCAGAAGACAUUUCAGAAUUAAAAAAUGUGCUCAUUGGUUCCUGUAAAAAAUUGAAGGGAAUAGAGCAGUCUGUGAGAAGAGGCAGCUUCUUGGCAUCCAAGAAGCAAGAGCAGCGUGUGAAAACAAGUUCAAAUUCCGUCUGGUGCAUGCCCACGAGGGAUUGGGGAUGGCGCUAG
rnacentral:rRNA from 1 species